CAACCCAAUUUUUUGUUUAAGCAUGGAAAUGGGGCAUUCCUAUUCCAUUUCCUUUUCACUAAAUAGCCACAAAAUACAGGUCUCCUUUCCAUUUUACCCUCUCAUUUUCUCACGAAAAAAAAGUUCUCAUUCAGUCCAAUCUCAAUCCUGACCUCCCUUGCUUCCUUCGUCUCCGGCCAGUAGCAGUCAUCCCUCAGGUUUAUAGGGGUGUUAAGGUCAUCUUCUCAGCUGUGUAACUUUUCUUCUAAAGGAAACCAUUCAAAGGCGUAGGAACUCAAAGUUGGUUAUUGUGUUACAACAUGAGGAGUUUAAUGUCGCAACAUAGGGAGUAGAAUGUUAAAAUUGCUAUAUCUGUAACACUCCUAACCCGUAUCCGUCGUCGAAACAGGGUUACAGAGUGUUACAAGUUAGCGGUACAUACAGAACAUUUACAGAUUAAUCAAAACAUUACUAUUCACUUUCUGAGAUCAUAUAUGUAUAUAACGACCUUUAUUUGGGCCCUCGAACCCCAACAUCAUCAUUAAAAUCAAGUCGGAACUUAACUGAUUUCUCAUAAAA